UCAGAUUUAUAUGAUCUUCUGCUAUUCUUAGACCUUGACAGGAGGGUUUCACAGUUUUGGAUACAGUUUCGAAGAAAGCUAAGUUUUCCUAUUCUAACAGUUGAAUAUGUAAUAUUAGAUGCAUCAUUACAUGAUUAGAUGAUUGCAGUAGAUGAUUGAUUACAUGCUUUGAUAGUGUAUUUAAUGAAUUUCUUGAAGAAAUACAUUUUGUUGGACGACAAUGUUUCCUCUUGGAUCCAAUCGUGCAUGAAGAUGUAAUCUUCUUCAUGGUCUGCAAUAGCAAUGCUUUACCUACUGUGUUUUUUAUGAUUUGAGUUUAUUGUAUUCAGGCAACUGUUGUAAAUCAAAUAUUGUUGUCCAUGGUUUGGUAUUUAUAGAGCAGUUACAUGGGUUUGUCUUGGAAGACACUAAAGUGUGCUUAAUUAUUUAUGUUAUCAAUUACAUAGAGAACCUGAAAGGUUGCUGUUUGUUAUUAAUGUUAUAUGCAUUUUUUUCAAUUACAUGUGUGUUGUUAGGGUUUCCCAUGUGUGGUGUUACUGUUCCCAUUGAUCUUGAUAUCAAUUUUUCUGGGUAAUAUGUUCAAAAUUGGUUUUUUUAGAGUAUAUUUAACUAAAUCAUAAUCUAUAUAAAUUGUAAGUAGUUUAAAUUGGUUAGUCAUUGACUGAUUUGUAAUUUGGUAAUUCACUUUUUCUAAUUCUAUUUUUUUUUAGAACAUGUAUAAGCCAAUUUAAGUACACAUUAAUAAGAAAAAGUGUAUGCAAUUAUGCUUAAAUUUUUAUAACAUGUCCCAGUUAUUUAAAAACUGAUUUAGUUGCCAAUUUGAAUAAGUAUAUGAGUUUUCCUUUAUUUGAAAACACUAAAUAUUUAUUUUUUUGCAGGGCAUCUCGUAAAUUGGGGCAUCAAAUAAAAACUAAUAAUCUCUACCACUGCAAUAUGAGCCAAGCUGUUGAGGUUGAUGAUUUCGAAUAAAAUAUGCCUGUUGAUGAUUUCGAAUAAAAUAUGCCCCAAACUUAACAGUGGGAAUCCCACAGAGAUGUUCAAAUUUGUCUAAGAGACAGAGAAUACACAUUGGUGGUAAUGUAUUCUAUGUGUAACAGACAUAUAAUACACAUUGGUGGUAAUGUUUUGACAGCCCAAGAAGGUUUUGGCAAAGAAGUUCCACUUCCAUGUGCUUUGGCUACGGCUGUGGAGUAGAUAUUGGACGUUUUCCCUGCUGGUAGGCUCUAAUUCGACGCUGAUCCCUUUUCGGCGAGGCUUCAGGUAUAAUUCGGCUGAUCCCUUUUCGGCGAGGCUUCAGGUAUAAUUCGACGCUGCUCCGUUUCCGGCGAGACUUCUGGUAUAACUGCUGGCCUGCAUGACCUAGUAUUUGUAUUGAAGACUGAAACUUGAUAGUCUUUGCAUUGAAGAGAAAGUGAUGUAUAUAUAGAGAUUUAGAUAGAAUUGCUUCCCUAUCGUUAGUUAACGAAAGGGCAGAAAUCGAUUGGUCUGCAAUUAAUUACUUUGGAAAGACAAAUCCGGCUCUUCACCAUAAAUAUUAUAUGGGAAAAUGAAGAGUACACAGGGCUUAAACUUUUAAAUUGAA